rnacentral:rRNA from 1 species
UACGUAGGCAGCGAGCGUUGUUCGGAGUUACUGGGCGUAAAGGGCGCGUAGGCGGCCACCGCAAGUCAGUUGUGAAAUCUCUGGGCUUAACCCAGAACGGUCAGCUGAUACUGCGGGGCUAGAGUGCAGAAGGGGCAACUGGAAUUCUCGGUGUAGCGGUGAAAUGCGUAGAUAUCGAGAGGAACACCUGCGGCGAAGGCGGGUUGCUGGGCUGACACUGACGCUGACAGCGCGAAAGCUAGGGGAGCGAACGGG